UACCUGCAGCUCGAGUGGUAACCGCUAUUAUUGGGCCUAAAGCGUCCGUAGCCGGUUUGGUAAAUAUCUGGGUAAAUCGUGAGGCUUAACUUCACGAAUUUCGGAUAGACUGCCAGACUUGGGAUCGGGGGAGGUCAGAGGUACUCCAGGGGUAGCGGUGAAAUAUUGUAAUCCUUGGAGGACCACCGGUAGCGAAGGCGUCUGACUAGAACGAGUCCGACGGUGAGGGACGAAGCCCUGGGGCGCAAACCGCAUUAGAUACCCGGGUAGUCCAGGGUGUAAACGAUGUGGGCUUUGUAUUGGAGGUCCCACGUGGGCGUCCAGUGCAGAAGAGAAGUUGUUAAGCCCACCGCCUGGGAAGUACGGUCGCAAGGCUGAAACUUAAAGGAAUUGGCGGGGAGCACAGCAACGGGAGGAGCGUGCGGUUU
rnacentral:rRNA from 1 species